AGAAUCAACGCUGGCGGCGUGCCUAACACAUGCAAGUCGAACGAGAAAGUGGUAGCAAUACCAUGAGUAAAGUGGCGCACGGGUGAGUAACACGUGACUAACCUACCCUGGAGUGGGGGAUAACUGAGGGAAACCUUAGCUAAUACCGCAUAAUACCCACGGGUCAAAGGAGCAAUUCGCUCUGGGAGGGGGUCGCGGCCGAUUAGUUAGUUGGCGGGGUAACGGCCCACCAAGACGAUGAUCGGUAUCCGGCCUGAGAGGGCGCACGGCCACACUGGAACUGAAACACGGUCCAGACUCCUACGGGAGGCAGCAGUGGGGAAUUUUGCGCAAUGGGGGAAACCCUGACGCAGCAACGCCGCGUGGAGGAUGAAGUCCCUUGGGACGUAAACUCCUUUCGACCGGGACGAUUAUGACGGUACCGGUGGAAGAAGCCCCGGCUAACUUCGUGCCAGCAGCCGCGGUAACACGAGGGGGGCAAGCGUUGUUCGGAAUUAUUGGGCGUAAGGGCGCGUAGGCGGUGCGGUAAGUCACCUGUGAAAUCUCCGGGCUUAACUCGGAGUCUGCAGGCGAAACUGCCGUGCUGGAGUAUGGGAGAGGUGCGUGGAAUUCCCGGUGUAGCGGUGAAAUGCGUAGAUAUCGGGAGGAACACCUGUGGCGAAAGCGGCGCACUGGACCAUAACUGACGCUGAGGCGCGAAAGCUAGGGGAGCAAACAGGAUUAGAUACCCUGGUAGUCCUAGCCCUAAACGAUGGAUGCUUGGUGUGAUCGGUACCCAAUCCGAUUGUGCCGAAGCUAACGCGAUAAGCAUCCCGCCUGGGGAGUACGGUCGCAAGGCUGAA
rnacentral:rRNA from 1 species